ensembl:lncRNA
CAGUCUUGGGGUCACUGCAAUCCCUGUUACAAGGAUUCUCAUCCUCCUUCUCUUUGUUGUGUUUUUCCUGUAGCCAUGCAUGUUCCUUUUCGUCUUUUGUCUGCCUUUUCUUUUGGUCCAUUGGGAGCUCCUUAUCCUUCCACAUAUCUUCAUCACUCAAGCUCUCUACAUCAAUGUCAUCGCUGUCACGUGCCUGGAGUAAUUUCUUGGCCACUUUGGCUUUCUUCCCCUUCUCCUCCCUCUCUCUUUGUGUUAUCUGCUCCAGCUCUCUCCUUGUCUUCUCUUGCAUCUCUUUUUUCUUUCUCUCCUUUUCUCUUAGCCUCUCCUCCUGUUCCUUUCUCUCCAUUUCUGCUUCCAUCCCUCUCUUCCUCCCUUCGUCCUCUUUCAGUUUUUCCACCAUGGCUAUCCUCUUGCUCUCCUCUUCUUUCAGUCUCACAGUUUUAAUUUCUCUCUGUGUCUCCACUUCUAGCUGUCUUGAUUUGUUCUCCUCUUCCAAUCUCCUUUCUUUUCCUCUAUCUAUGUCAGUCUUUACAUUGUCCUUCAGGAAGAGCAAGUCUAGGUCUACACUGGCUUCCUCACUUUCAUUCCAGUCUUCUUCUGAUCCAUCCUCAGUGUCUUCAAAGGAUAGUCCCAUGGACUUCCACAGCUGGGAGGUCUCCUCCUCUAUUUUCCACAUCAUAUCUGUGUUCCUCUCGUCUCUCGUCUGUGGCUCUUUAACUUUCUCAUCCUCCUUCUUCUCCAUCUUCUCCUUCUCUUCUUUUCCUGAAUUCUCACUUCCCUCUUGUCUCUCCUUUCCUUUUUGCCUCUGGUCUUCAUGUUUCUCCCUCUCCCUUUCUUUGUUUAUUUCAAUUUCUGCUUCCUCUCUUUUUCGCUCCAUCUCCUCCAUCCUUCUUUGCUGCUCCUCUCUUUUUUGCUCUGUCUCCACUCUCACUUUCUCAAUCUCCUCUCUCCUUCUCACCAUCUCUGCUUUAGCUCUCUCCAUGUCUAUCCUUCUUUCCUGUUCCUCUCUUUUUUGCUCUGUCUCCAGUCUCACUUUCUC